rnacentral:rRNA from 1 species
GACAGAGGCCUCAAGCGUUAGGCGGAAUCACUGGGCUUAAAGCGUGUGUAGGCGGAUCGUUAAGUGUCUUGUGAAAUCCCACGGCUCACCCGUGGAACUGCUUGGUACACUGGUUCUCUUGAGCCACCUAGGGGCAACCGGAACAAACGGUGGAGCGGUGAAAUGCGUAGAUAUCGGGAGGAACACCGGUGGCGAAGGCGGUUCUCUGGGCCUUACCUGACGCUGAGGAGCGAAAGCGUGGGGAGCGAACAGG